GAUGAACGCUGGCGGCGUGCCUAAUACAUGCAAGUCGAGCGAACAGACGAGGAGCUUGCUCCUCUGACGUUAGCGGCGGACGGGUGAGUAACACGUGGAUAACCUACCUAUAAGACUGGGAUAACUUCGGGAAACCGGAGCUAAUACCGGAUAAUAUAUUGAACCGCAUGGUUCAAUAGUGAAAGACGGUUUUGCUGUCACUUAUAGAUGGAUCCGCGCCGCAUUAGCUAGUUGGUAAGGUAACGGCUUACCAAGGCAACGAUGCGUAGCCGACCUGAGAGAGUGAUCGGCCACACUGGAACUGAACCGCGGUCCAGGCUCCUACGGGAGGCAGCAGUAGGGAAUCUGACGCAAUGGGCGAGAGCCUGACGGAGCAACGCCGCGUGAGUGAUGAAGGUCUUCGGAUCGUAAAACUCUGUUAUUAGGGAAGAACAAAUGUGUAAGUAACUAUGCACGUCUUGACGGUACCUAAUCAGAAAGCCACGGCUAACUACGUG
rnacentral:rRNA from 1 species